GCCGGGUGUGGUGGCUCUCACCUGUAAUCCAAGCUACUGGGAGGCUGAGGCUGGAGGAUUGUUUGAGCUCAGGAGCUCUGAGCUGCAGUGGCCUAUGUUGAGCAGGGGUCCACACUAAGUUCAGUAUAGAUAUGGUGAUCCUGGGGGAGCCUAGGACCACCAGGUCAUCUAAGGAGGGGUGAACCGGCCCAGGUCGGAAACGGAGCAGGUCAAAUCCCCCGUACUGCCCAGUAGUGGGAUCGCCUCUGUGAAUAGAUGCUGUAGUUCAGCCUGAGCAACACAGUGAGACCCAGUCUUU
ensembl:misc_RNA Metazoa_SRP Metazoan signal recognition particle RNA